GGAUGAGGAAGAGGGGUCUCGAAAUCAGCAGGGGCUGUUUGCGGCCUUUCUGUCGUAAAUCUGGUCCAGCCAGUCCUGAGGGAGAUGGAGUGUCAUUAAGGGUCAGCGGCCUUAAUUCUUGAACUGUCUUUCCAGUUAGAUCCCAAUUCUUAGAGAUUCAGUGAACCUAAGAAAUGGUGCAAAAAUUAUUUAGGUCAACUUGGAAAUGAGAGCAAGGAAGAAAUAAGACAUAAAGACACAGAAAACUGGAAUGUGCUUUGGAGAACACCUAGGUCAACGUCCUCGCUGAGGACACAGCAAAGAACAAAACAGAUACAGCUCCUUCUCUCCUACCCGGCUCCUUACAGCCCAGUAAGGGAGACGGAUGUGAAACCAUCUUACAGAUAAGUACUAAGUGGCAUAAAGAGAAAAGGAAAUGCAGGAUGCCAAUGAGAUAUUCAAUGGGGAGUUGUAAAUUAGACAGGGGUGGUAGAUAAGGGAAUGCUUCUCCAAGGAAGCAGCUUUUUUUUUUAAAGAUUGGCAUCUGUUGCCAAUCUUCUUUUCUUUUCUUCUCCCCAAAGCCCCCCAGUACAUAGUUGUAUAUUUUAGCUGUGAGUACCUCUGGUUGUGCUAUGUAGGACGCCGCCUCAGCCUCCAGGAUCUGAACCGGCGAAACCCUGGGCUCCCAAAGCAGAGUGCAGGAACUUAACCACUCGGCCACUGGGCCUGCCCCAGGAAGCAGCUUUUAAACUAAGGAGUGUCUGUGGGGUGGGGAGUCGGGGGAAGAGCCAAGUGUUCCCUGGAGAGGAAGCAGUAUGUGUGGAAGCCCAGAGGUGGGAAAGGGCUUGAUUCCUUCGAGCAGCAGAAUAAGCCCUCUGAGGUAGGUACUGCUUAGUAUUGAGGGAACAGAUGUCACACAGCUGAGAAAUAGCAGAGCGGAUUUGUGUCCGGGUUGGUGUGGCCUCAAAGUCUGUGCCUUGAACCGCUGGUCAUUGCCUCCCAGAUUGGAGUCUGAGGUUUGGAGUGGUGAAGUGAUUUGCCCUGAAUGUCAUGGCUUGCAACAGAGCCGAGCCCUGCAGAGAGGUCUGCAGAUUUUUCACUGUGCUGUGAAAGGACACAGGGACAGGGAGAGUAGGGAGGGCAUGGAAAGAAAAGGUCCUCUUUGCCCAGACCUUGGGGUUUGCUAGAACUUAGGGUUUCCUGGAGUGGAAAGAGGUAGACGUUUUUAAGCAUCUGUCUCUAGGGGUGUGCUGCUGGUCAGCAGGCAGCCCCCUUGGAGGGUUGCUGGGCCUGGCGUGCCAGGGCAG
rnacentral:lncRNA from 1 species